rfam:Lactobacillus diolivorans DSM 14421 NODE_166, whole genome shotgun sequence.
AAAUGAAAGCAGAAGCAACCCGCUUCUCGCCUUAGUGAACUGAUUCGCUGGGCACGAUAUCGAGUAAGAGCUUAAUUGUUUAAGUUCUUUAAUUGAGGCGGGCACAAUUCUGUGCCUGUCUUUUUUCUGCUUU